rnacentral:rRNA from 1 species
ACUCCUACGGGAGGCAGCAGUGGGGAAUAUUGCACAAUGGGGGAAACCCUGAUGCAGCCAUGCCGCGUGUGUGAAGAAGGCCUUUGGGUUGUAAAGCACUUUCAGUAGGGAGGAAGGUAGUGUAGUUAACACCUGCAUUAUUUGACGUUACCUACAGAAGAAGCACCGGCUAACUCCGUGCCAGCAGCCGCGGUAAUACGGAGGGUGCGAGCGUUAAUCGGAAUUACUGGGCGUAAAGCGCAUGCAGGCGGCCUGUUAAGUCAGAUGUGAAAGCCCGGGGCUUAACCUCGGAAUUGCAUUUGAAACUGGCAGGCUAGAGUCUUGUAGAGGGGGUAGAAUUUCAGGUGUAGCGGUGAAAUGCGUAGAGAUCUGAAGGAAUACUAGUGGCGAAGGCGGCCCCUGGACAAAGACUGACGCUCAGAUGCGAAAGCGUGGGGAGCAAACA